UGGCGACGGGUGAGUAACACGUGGGCAAUCUGCCCUUCACUCUGGGACAAGCCCUGGAAACGGGGUCUAAUACCGGAUAAUACUUUCUCCCUCCUGGGAGAAGGUUGAAAGCUCCGGCGGUGAAGGAUGAGCCCGCGGCCUAUCAGCUAGUUGGUGGGGUAAUGGCCUACCAAGGCGACGACGGGUAGCCGGCCUGAGAGGGCGACCGGCCACACUGGGACUGAGACACGGCCCAGACUCCUACGGGAGGCAGCAGUGGGGAAUAUUGCACAAUGGGCGAAAGCCUGAUGCAGCGACGCCGCGUGAGGGAUGACGGCCUUCGGGUUGUAAACCUCUUUCAGCAGGGAAGAAGCGAAAGUGACGGUACCUGCAGAAGAAGCGCCGGCUAACUACGUGCCAGCAGCCGCGGUAAUACGUAGGGCGCAAGCGUUGUCCGGAAUUAUUGGGCGUAAAGAGCUCGUAGGCGGCUUGUCACGUCGGUUGUGAAAGCCCGGGGCUUAACCCCGGGUCUGCAGUCGAUACGGGCAGGCUAGAGUGUGGUAGGGGAGAUCGGAAUUCCUGGUGUAGCGGUGAAAUGCGCAGAUAUCAGGAGGAACACCGGUGGCGAAGGCGGAUCUCUGGGCCAUUACUGACGCUGAGGAGCGAAAGCGUGGGGAGCGAACAGGAUUAGAUACCCUGGUAGUCCACGCCGUAAACGUUGGGAACUAGGUGUUGGCGACAUUCCACGUCGU
rnacentral:rRNA from 1 species